AAAGAGCCCUACCGGAAAGGAGCAGCGACUCCAUCCUGACCUCGAGUCUUGCGCCGGUCGUCGCGAGGCGGCAGGCGAAGCGUAGACAGAGGCAUCGGUGGGCUGGGCGAUUGAGCUCCGAAAACAAAGAACCGGGCGCCGACCCUUUUCUGUCAGCGGGAAGGCCACACCGGCCGAUGGCGCUAGAUCGCGAGUCAUGGCCGGGCCCGGCGUAGUCGAAGACCC
rfam:Freshwater sediment metagenome lwMethane_BCGO5961_y1, whole genome shotgun sequence.